rnacentral:misc_RNA from 1 species
UUUCCGUAGGUGAACCUGCGGAAGGAUCAUUACAGAGUUCAUGCCCUCACGGGUAGAUCUCCCACCCUUGAAUAUUUAUACCUUAGUUGCUUUGGCAGGCCGUGGAAAAACCAUGGGCUCCGGCUUAUGCGUGCCUGCCAGAGGAAACAAACUCUGUUUUUAGUGAUGUCUGAGUACUAUAUAAUAGUUAAAACUUUCAACAACGGAUCUCUUGGUUCUG